rnacentral:rRNA from 1 species
GAUGAACGCUGGCGGCGUGCCUAAUACAUGCAAGUCGAGCGAACAGACGAGUAGCUUUCUCCUCUGACGUUAGCGGCGUACGGGUGAGUAACACGUGGAUAACCUACCUAUAAGACUGGGAUAACUUCGGGAAACCGGAGCUAAUACCGGAUAAUAUAUUGAACCGCAUGGUUCAAUAGUGAAAGACGGUUUUGCUGUCACUUAUAGAUGGAUCCGCGCCGCAUUAGCUAGUUGGUAAGGUAACGGCUUACCAAGGCAACGAUGCGUAGCCGACCUGAGAGGGUGAUCGGCCACACUGGAACUGAGACACGGUCCAGACUCCUACGGGAGGCAGCAGUAGGGAAUCUUCCGCAAUGGGCGAAAGCCUGACGGAGCAACGCCGCGUGAGUGAUGAAGGUCUUCGGAUCGUAAAACUCUGUUAUUAGGGAAGAACAAAUGUGUAAGUAACUAUGCACGUCUUGACGGUACCUAAUCAGAAAGCCACGGCUAACUACGUG